rnacentral:rRNA from 1 species
AGCGAACGCUGGCGGCAGGCCUAAUACAUGCAAGUCGAGCGGGUCCUUCGGGAUUAGCGGCGGACGGGUGAGUAACGCGUGGGAACGUGCCCUUUGGUACGGGAACAACUGAGGGAAACUUCAGCUAAUACCGUAUGUGCCCUUCGGGGAAAGAUUAUCGCCAUUGGAGCGGCCCGCGUUGGAUUAGGUAGUUGGUGAGGUAAAGGCUCACCAAGCCUACGAUCCAUAGCUGGUCUGAGAGGAUGACCAGCCACACUGGGACUGAGACACGGCCCAGACUCCUACGGAGGCAGCAGUAGGGAAUCUUGCGCAAUGGGCGAAAGCCUGACGCAGCCAUGCCGCGUGAAUGAUGAAGGUCUUAGGAUUGUAAAAUCUUUCACCGGGGACGAUAAUAGACGGUAACCCGGAGAAGAAAGCCCCGGCUAACUUCGUGCCAGCAGCCGC